rnacentral:SRP_RNA from 1 species
ACAUUGGUUCUUCGUGAUACUCAAUUGUGAACCCCGUCAGGUCCGGAAGGAAGCAGCGGCAGCAAUGAAGGUAUGCACCGAAGGUCGCUAGUGUAGC